rnacentral:rRNA from 1 species
CCGGCAUGCCUCAGUAGCGGCGAGUGAAGCGGCAAGAGCUCAGAUUUGAAAUCGUGCUUUGCGGCACGAGUUGUAGAUUGCAGGUUGGAGUCUGUGUGGAAGGCGGUGUCCAAGUCCCUUGGAACAGGGCGCCCAGGAGGGUGAGAGCCCCGUGGGAUGCCGGCGGAAGCAGUGAGGCCCUUCUGACGAGUCGAGUUGUUUGGGAAUA